AGUCACAGCCAUAUCACCCUGCAGCACAAGACCGGUUACUCACUGAAGCUAAGCAGGGCUGAGCCUGAUCAGUACCUGGAUGGGAGACGGUGACCACAUGGGAAAGCUAGGUUGCUGUUGAAA
rnacentral:rRNA from 1 species